rnacentral:rRNA from 1 species
CGGGUGAGUAACACGUGGAUAACCUACCUAUAAGACUGGGAUAACUUCGGGAAACCGGAGCUAAUACCGGAUAAUAUUUUGAACCGCAUGGUUCAAAAGUGAAAGACGGUCUUGCUGUCACCUAUAGAUGGAUCCGCGCUGCAUUAGCUAGUUGGUAAGGUAACGGCUUACCAAGGCAACGAUGCAUAGCCGACCUGAGAGGGUGAUCGGCCACACUGGAACUGAGGCACGGUCCAG